rnacentral:rRNA from 1 species
GAUGAACGCUGGCGGCGUGCCUAACACAUGCAAGUCGAACGAUGACGACCGAACUUGCUCGGUCUGAUUAUCGGCGAACGGGUGAGUAUCACGUGUGCAACCUGCCCUUCUCUCUCGGAUAACCUCGGGAAAUCGGGGCUAAUACCGGAUAUGAGCUCCCGUCCCAUGGCGGGCGUUGGAAAGUUUUGCGGUGUAGGAUGGGCUCGCGGCCUAUCGGUUUGUUUGUGAGGUAGGGGCAGACCAAGGCGAUGACGGGUAGCCGGCCUGAGAGGGCGGACGGCGACACUAGGACUGAGGCACGGACCAGUCUGGUACGGUCGGCAGCGGUCGGAAGUCUUACACAAUGGGCCCGAGUCUGUGACGGCGGCGUCGCGUGCGGAAAGCCGUCUUUCUGGUUAAGAACAUCUGCCAGCGGAGAAGAAGCGAUAGUGACGGUACCUAAAGAAGAAGCGCCGGCUAACUACGUG